rnacentral:rRNA from 1 species
UACGGAGGGUGCAAGCGUUAUCCGGAUUCACUGGGUUUAAAGGGUGCGUAGGCGGGUAGGUAAGUCCGCUGUGAAAUCUCUGAGCUUAACUCAGAAACUGCCGUGGAUACUAUUUGCCUUGAAUAUUGUGGAGGUGAGCGGAAUAUGUCAUGUAGCGGUGAAAUGCGUAGAUAUGACAUAGAACACCAAUUGCGAAGGCAGCUCACUAGACAAUGAUUGACGCUGAGGCACGAAAGCGUGGGGAUCAAACAGG